rnacentral:rRNA from 1 species
UACGUAGGGGGCGAGCGUUGUCCGGAUUUAUUGGGCCUAAAGCAUCCGUAGCCGGUUCUACAAGUCUUCCGUUAAAUCCACCUGCUCAACAGUUGGGCUGCGGAGGAUACUAUAGAGCUAGGAGGCGGGAGAGGCAAGCGGUACUUAGUGGGUAGGGGUAAAAUCCGUUGAUCCAUUGAAGACCACCAGUGGCGAAGGCGGCUUGCCAGAACGCACUCGACGGUGAGGGAUGAAAGCUGGGGGAGCAAACCGG